rnacentral:rRNA from 1 species
UACGGGGGGUGCGAGCGUUGUCCGGAAUCACUGGGCGUAAAGGGCGCGUAGGUGGUUUGAUAAGGGUGUGGUGAAAGUCCGGAGCUCAACUCCGGAUCUGCCGUGCCGACUGUCAAACUCGAGGGCUGUAGAGGCAGACGGAAUUCCGGGUGUAGCGGUGGAAUGCGUAGAGAUCCGGAAGAACACCGGUGGCGAAGGCGGCUGCGCUGGGCAGUGG